rnacentral:tRNA from 1 species
UCACCCGUAACUCAAUGGUAGAGUGCCCGCCUGUUAAGCGGUAUGUUGUAGGUUCGAGUCCUAUCGGGUGAGCCA